CAGAUGCGAAGCCAGUUCUUCAAAAGUAGGAAGAAACGCAAACCCACUGAUUUGCAUUUUGCUAAAUGACGUUCUUUCCCCAUCUCACACUCCCUGUGAAAUCUGGCACUUUACUGAAGUUCUAAUUAACGACUGAUUUUUGCACUUCUAGAUACCACCUGCAUGCCUUUGUCUGUGGACCCUUCCUUCAACUGAAAGCAAGAAGUGUAGGAUCUUCAGAUAUUUCUGUUGCUCUCCUGCCUCCCUCUUUCACUUAUAAGGAACCUUGUGAUUCCAUUGGGCCCACCUGGAAAUCCACUUUGGCCGUGUAAGGGUAGAGACAUUUGCUUAGAAUGAAAUGGAUUCCGAAAUAAUCACUUUCAUCUCCUAAAUGAGCCUACCCAGGAAGAAAAAGCUAUGAAGCCAUCAAUGCAACCCCCUCCCUGUUCCUCACCGAAGUAUUGAAACAAAAUGUUUGCAACCCAAGGACUUCAUUUCUGAGAGGCCUGUAAGUUAACAGCCUUGCUUAUGGAACCUCAAGUUACAAACAUAUUCCAAAUAUUUACCUAAAAAUUUAAGUUCCUCUCAAUUGUUUGGAGAUAAGAUAUUGAGGAUCACGAUGCUAUGUAAAGAAGAAUAUCAU